rnacentral:rRNA from 1 species
CCUACGGGGGGCAGCAGUGGGGAAUAUUGCGCAAUGGGCGAAAGCCUGACGCAGCGACGCCGCGUGAGGGAUGAAGGUCUUCGGAUCGUAAACCUCUGUCAGCAGGGAAGAACGGUCACUGUGCUAAUCAGCAGUGAAUUGACGGUACCUGCAAAGGAAGCACCGGCUAACUCCGUGCCAGCAGCCGCGGUAAUACGGAGGGUGCGAGCGUUAAUCGGAAUUACUGGGCGUAAAGCGCUCGUAGGCGGUAUGUCAAGUCAAGGGUGAAAUCCCCGCGCUCAACGUGGGCACUGCCUUUGAAACUGGCAAACUGGAGUGUGUGAGAGGAUAGUGGAAUUCCAGGUGUAGGGGUGAAAUGCGUAGAUAUCUGGAGGAACAUCAGUGGCGAAGGCGACUAUCUGGCACAUAACUGACGCUGAGGAGCGAAAGCGUGGGUAGCAAACAGGAUUAGAUACCCCAGUAGUC